rnacentral:rRNA from 1 species
UACGAAGGGGGGCAAGCGUUGUUCGGAAUUACUGGGCGUAAAGGGCUCGUAGGCGGCCAACUAAGUCAGACGUGAAAUCCCUCGGCUUAACCGGGGAACUGCGUCUGAUACUGGAUGGCUGGAGUUUGGGAGAGGGAUGCGGAAUUCCAGGUGUAGCGGUGAAAUGCGUAGAUAUCUGGAGGAACACCGGUGGCGAAGGCGGCAUCCUGGACCAAUACUGACGCUGAGGAGCGAAAGCCAGGGGAGCAAAGCGGG